AUGGUACCUGAAAUAAGCAAGAUUACCCGCUGAACUUAAGCAUAUCAGUAAGCGGAGGAAAAGAAAAUAACAAUGAUUACCUCAGUAGCGGCGAGUGAAGAGGUAAAAGCCCAAGAUGUUAAUCCAUAGCACAACUGUGGAAUUGUAAUCUAUAGUGUUUCUCAGAAGGUCAAGACUCGUCAUAAGUUCUUUGGAACAAGACACCAUAGAGGGUGAAAGUCCCGUCUUUGGAUGAGUCGAGAUGAUAUGAGAGAUUUCUAAGAGUCGUGUAGUUUGGGAAUGCUGCACUAAGUGGGAGAUAAACUUCUCCUAAGGCUAAAUAUAAGAUAGGAGACCGAUAGCAUACAAGUACUGCGAAGGAAAGAUGAAAAGAACUUUGAAAAGAGGGUUAAAAGACUUGAAAUCGUUGAAAAGGAAGCAGUAAAAGAGAAAUUAUAACCGGCGAAUUAACUCAUUAAUCUAAGCUUAGAGGUGGAGAGUACUUCAUAGGAUUCUUAUCUUAAAGUGAAAAUUAGUGAGAUUUCGCAGGUGAAAGGCAAAAUGGCUUUCUUUUGUAAUAGUAAGGUCAAACAUAUUGUGAAGCCAAAAAUUACAAAAGAGAGUGAGGGAUUAGCUAAUGAUUUUGCCAAAAUGGCUUUUACUGACCCGUCUUGAAACACGGACCAAGGAGUCUACCCAUUAUGCGAGUGUUAGGGUGGAAAAACCCAAACGCGUACCGAAAGGGAUGCAAGAUGUGAAGCGCAAGCUGCAACAUCAACCAAUCUUGAUUCUUUGAUGAAGGACUUGAGUAAGAGCAUAAUUGGUAGGACCCGAAAGAUGGUGAACUACGGUUGAGUAGGGUGAAGCCAGGGGAAACUCUGGUGGAGGCUCGAAGCGUUACUGACGUGCAAAUCGUUCGUCAAACUUGACUGUAGGGGCGAAAGACUAAUCGAACCAUCUAGUAGCUGGUUCCCUCUGAAAUUUCUCUCAGGAUAGCAGGAACAGUUUAUGCAGUUUUAUCAGGUAAAGCUAAUGAUUAGUGGACUCGGGGGUCUGAGACUCUCGACCAAUUCUCAAACUUUAAAUUGGUAAGAACUUCUAGUUAUCUUAAUUGAACUAGGAGGUGGAAUGCGUUGUUCUUAGUGGGCCAUUUUUGGUAAGCAGAACUGGCGAUGAGGGAUGAACCUAACGUUGAGAUAAGGUGCCCAAAUUCACGCUCAUGAGACACCAUAAAAGGUGUUGGUUAGUAUAAACAGCCGGACUGUGGCCAUGGAAGUCGGCAUCAGCUAAGGAGUGUGUAACAACUCACCAGCCGAAUUAACCAGCCCUGAAAAUUGAUGGCGCUAAGCGUGAUACCGAUACUCAACCAUCAAGGCAAAUAGAAGCUUUGAUGAGUAAGAGGGCGUGAAGACUGUGUAGAAGGCUUGGAUGUGAAUCUGGCUGGAACAGUCUUUAGUGCAGAUCUUGGUGGUAGUAGCAAAUAUUCAAAUGAGAACUUUGAAGACCGAAGUGGAGAAGGGUUCCAUGAGAACAGCAUUUGUUCAUGGGUUACUCGAUCCUAAGACAUAGGGAAAUUCCUUGUAAUAUAUGUGUUCUUACGAAUGCAUUGUCAAAAGGGAAUGAGGUUGAUAUUCCUCAAGCUGGAUGUGGUGGCUACGUGGUAACACGAACAAGCUCGGAAAUGCCGGUAUGUGCAACUGGAAGAGUUCUCUUUUCUUCUUAACAAUCUAUCUCCCUGAAUGGAUUAUCCAAAGCAAGGGAUAUAUGGUUGGCAGAGCAGUUCACCAUCGAAUUGUCAGUGAUGCUCAUAACGGCCCUUGAAAAUCUGAGUAAGGUUAUCCAAUCACACCAGGUCGUACCCAUAACCGCAUCAGGUCUCCAAGGUUAGCAGCCUCUGGUCGAUAGAAUAAUGUAGAUAAGGGAAUUCGGCAAAUUAGAUCCGUAACUUCGGGAAAAGGAUUGGCUCUGAGGAUUGGGUUAUAGUUGCUGUCAUUGAGAGGGGAACUAUGAAAGAGCUGCGCAAGUGGAUCUGGAUUGGUGAACCAGGAAAUGCCGGUUUACUUACACCAGCAACAAUCGACUCAGAACUGAAGCGGACAAGGGGAAUCCGACUGUUUAAUAAAAACAUAGCUUUGUGAUGGCCUGAAAAGGUGUUGACACAAAGUGAUUUCUGCCCAGUGCUUUGAAUGUGAAUAUGAAGUAAUUUGUAGAAGCUCAGGUAAACGGCGGGAGUAACUAUGACUCUCUUAAGGUAGCCAAAUGCCUCGUCAUCUAAUUAGUGACGCGCAUGAAUGGAUCAAUGAGAUUCCCACUGUCCCUAUCUACUAUCUAGCGAACCCACAGCCAAGGGAACGGGCUUGGAAUAAUCAGCGGGGAAAGAAGACCCUGUUGAGCUUGACUCUAGUCCGACUUUGUGAAAUGACUUUCGAGAUAUAGCCUAAGUGGGAGCUAACGCGCCGCUGUAAAACCACUGCUCGCUUAGCCAUUUUACUUACUCCAUGAAGAAGUGACCAAUUUAUUGGUUCUUAGAAUUAAAUGCUGGCUCGCACCAGCAUGAGCUUUGUGGAGGACAAGGUCAGGUGGGGAGUUUGACUGGGGCGGUACAUCUGUUAAACAAUAACGCAGGUGUCCUACGGUGAGCUCAAAGAGAACAGAAAUCUCUUGUAGACCAAAAGGGGAAAAGCUCACUUGAUUUUGAUUUUCAGUACUAAUACAAACCGCGAAAGCGUGGCCUAUCGAUCCUUUAACUUUACAAGUUUUAAGCUAGAGGUGUCAGAAAAGUUACCACAGGGAUAACUGGCUUGUGGCAGCCAAGCGCCCAUAGCGACGUUGCUUUUUGAUCCUUCGAUGUCGGCUCUUCCUAUCAUUGUGAAGCAUAAUUCACAACGUGUUGGAUUGUUCACCCGUUAAUAGGGAACGUGAGCUGGGUUUAGACCGUCGUGAGACAGGUUAGUUUUACCCUACUGAUGAAUCGAUGUUGCGACAGUAAUCUUACUUAGUACGAGAGGAACCGUUAGAUCAGAUAAUUGGUUAAUACGGUUAGCUGAAAAGCUAAUGCCGUGAAGCUACCAUCUGUUGGAUUAUGACUGAAAGCCUCUAAGUCAGAAACCAUGCUGGAAAGCAACGUCCAAUCAAUAAUAAAUGAAAAAGAAUAAGGGAAACCUUUAGUUCAGUAAGGGAGCGGCGAAACUCGAAAGAGCACAGCCUAACCUCCAAUAAAUUUAAAUUAUUAUUGUAACAGAUCUUCUGUAGACGACUUAAUUCAGGAAAGGGUAUUGUAAACGCUAGAGUAAUUCACAUUACGAUGUGUUGAGAUUCAUCCCUAAAUCCUAAGAUCUGUAAUUCACCCUUC
rnacentral:rRNA from 1 species